AGCCGUACAGGAAGACAAGUAAGGACCACUGCCUAAAUCAAGACAAGAGACAAUGGUGGGAAAGAUGCUGAGAGCCCCAGGCAGAUCUCAGAGACAUUUUGGAAGUUUAAUUGACAGGAUUUGGUAAUGGGCUGGAUAUGACCCCAGGAUCCCAGGCUCUGCCUGGUCCCAGUCCACUGUCUUUACCUGAACUUUAUCACCUCUUAAGGAUCCUCCAGGAGCCCAUAGAAGCUGAGCCAGGCAUUGGCACCCAGCUCGUGAAUUAAUCCAGACCACUUAGCACUUGUGCACACCUGCUGUUCCUGAGUCUCAGCUUUACUGAGGCCUUGAAACCUCUCUUUCUUCCUCUAUUCCCCUGGUUACCAUUGUGUUCCUAGAGCUUCCAUAUGUCAGGCUUCACUCUGACACCUGCUCCAGGGUGAUCCACAAUGUGGCUCUUGCUAUUCACCCUUAUGGCUUUAUUCUGUGGGUACAAUGCAUCCCCCACCCUGUCCCAGCACCUACAGGCCUAACUGGCUGGGUCUGCCCCUCACCAACCCCUUUUCCCCAAUCAUGUGUGGUCCUGAGAUGCUGCCCAGCUUUCUAAGAAUGCCUCUUUUAUUGGGAUAUUAUACUUCUAGCCAUUGACUAGGGCUGCUUCUACCUGGCUAUGCCUCUUAGAUCCAUGUCUCACUGGCCUCCUGUUUCUAAGAGUCUACCCUUCUUGAGAACUCUUGCUUGUCUCAUGGCCUAGAUGAGAUCCUAUCUGCCUGUUCCUCUUCUAUGGCACCACUAACUAGAACCAAAAUGAAGCUGCUAUGUCCCUUUGGACUGUUGGCUUCUUCUGUCUUGGGUGGCAGACAGAGCUAAUGGCAGGGAGGCCACUAGCUGGCCCUGUCUUGGCCAGACCAAAGUUCUUCCUAUGUGGUGAGAUCCUGGCCUGUCACUUUGCUACACCCACCCAAGUCACAACCAUGAGAGCACUAUGCAAUGAAUAUGCCUAGGUAAAUAUGCCUAUACAGGCUGAUUCUUGUGCAUAAACAUGUAUAUAUGUAGGUAUAUGUUUAUUAAUAGAAGUCUACAAUGACACAACUUCUUAUAAUUAUUUUAGUUCAUCUAAGGCCAUAUAUGUAAGGAUUAAAAUUCAGAUAUGUAGACAGACCCUGAUUAUUGGGUAUGGUCAUGAACUGCUCACAAAAUGACACCUCCCUGAAUAGGUCUCACUCUAAUCUUGCUUUUAUCUUCCUGCACAGAAUUAUUCAGGUAGGCCUUCCUUUAAAAAAAAAGAAAAUAAGACAAGAUCAUUGCAGAAAAGCAUACCCAACUCCCAUAGUUUACCACCUCUUCAAAGCUGAUUCUUUCCUUGGUUCAUCUUUUUCUUAUGAUUCAUAAUUCCUUACUUUUUAUAUCAGUCACCUAUGGUCAUAAUAGUGCUGCAUGAGGUACAAUCUCAAAAUAUAGUGGCUUAGGAUAAUAAACAUCCAUUCACUUUACUGUUCUGUGUGUUGGUAUUUUAGGCAGAGGUGGCUGAGCAGUCCUGGUCUCAGAAUUCUCUCACGUUCCUGGUAAUUGACUAUUGGUUGAUCUUGGCUGAGAUGACUCUGGUGACUUGCCGGUUCCCACGUUGUGUGUCCCAUCCUCCAGGAGCCAGACUGGGCAUGUUGUCAUGGUGAUGACAGAAGGCAAGAACAGAAACUCCUAGGCCAGCAAGCAGGUGAUGAAUGAGGGGCUGGGGAAGCAGCUGUCUCUUCUUUGAGGCCACCGGCAUUUUUGGAAGAGACUCUAUGCGUGGCAGUUGCUGGAAAUGGAGGUGAAACUCAUUCCCACACUCCUUAGUCUAAGGCCUGUACUGUUUGUUUUUUGUUUUUUGUCUUUGCCUCCUCCAACUCACUUAGAGGUGAAUCUUUCUUCUUCAGAGUUCUUGGCAUUCCUGGGGCUUUACAGUGGUCUGGUCAUUGAGGCUCCCUACCAGAGGACAGAAUUUCCCUGGCUUAACCCUGGUUGAUCUUAAAAUAAUCACUCACACUUAUAAAUCAUAUUCAGAGUCUUGAAUUGAACUAGAGUGUAAAAUAGUGCUGCAGAUGGAUUAUUCAUCCUUCUGAAAGAGAAGCCUUAAUGGUACAAUGGUGGUGCUGCCCCAAGUAACCUGGAUAGGUCUUAUGCUUCAGAUGUGAGAUUAAAGGAUCAAGGGGAAGCUGUUGAGUCAUGGCAUCUGACCCACUUAAACCUGUUAGACUCUCUUCAAGAAUCUAAUAUGUCCUUUGAGAGGAAUCACCUCUGAGUUGUAUCUCUUCUGCAUGGCUACAGGGAGAAAGCCUGCUAUAUCUACUGGAAUAAAAAAGGAAGCAGAGAAAAUGGAAUCUAGACAAAUGGAUAUCCGGAUCCAGCUGGACAAAGCCCUGUGAUGUUAAAGCCACCAGUCUGACUCUGUAGGACACUGUCGCUACCACAUCCCAAAAGGAAAUGUACCCAGCCUGCCUACUUGCCACUCAGCAUCCCUCCCAGGGGAAAGAGCUAUGCCUUAGGGGUGUGAUGUCACAAACAAGUCAACCAUCGUUUAGAGGCAUCAUUUCAAGGUUCCCCCUCUCUGCUUCUCAGCUUACUUUCCCUCUGCUGCUGUCACCUGGCUGUCAGCAUCCAAAUUAGCACAGAGCCCCAACCCAAGCAAGCAUCAACUGGAUUGUCAGCCCAGUGAAUGACCCACCCUGGGGACCUGCUGUUAUACCCUGCCUCAGCUGUCACCUUCCUGUGGCCUUCCUCUUUCCCCGGGCAUGCAGAGCCAUGAAAACAGCAGUAAGCUUCUCCCUGAGAAAGAAAAAGCUGCGUGUAAGGUCAGGUAAACACAGGGCCAGAGAAAGCUCUCCCUUCCCCCAUCCCACAGACACAUCUUAUCCUCGCCCCAAGCUAAGGACCUCUAAAUCCAGCCACAGUAGCAAUGCUGGGAUGGCAGGAAAAUGUUCAGCCUGGAAACCACAACCUCUGCAGCACAGCAGCCAGCACCAGUGAAGGACAUGGAGUUAAAUCGAAAAGGAAUUUGAAUGACAAAGUGACAUUAUGUCUAUCUCCCUAAUGAUGGGACAAGUUGGUCUUCUGUCAUUGGCAAGGCAAAACUGCCAGGACCAGAUGUGUAUUUAAAAGCUAUUUCUCAUGGUUUUAAGUCACCAGGUCAGCUCGAUACCUAAAACAAAGAGAAUGAAUUAUGGAACAGGACGAGGGGAGCUUGUUAAUUUUCCUACUGAUGCACUGUGAAAUGAAAGCUUUAUUCUAAGAAUGGUAUAUCCUCAGGGCUCUCUCUGGAGAGACAAAUUCAAAUGUCCUUACUGUUUUCUUUGUCCCUUACUUUAUGGCUUUUUCUGUACACAUUUACGAAGUAUAUAUAUUUCAUGGUAUGUCUGUGUCUAUAGGACUCAGGGAGUUCAAGUCUGUGAUUCUCUUUAGGGCUUCCUUGACAAUAAGGAGUGCUUAGGUGAUGUUAUUGAUGAAUACACACACACACACACAAUUAGAAUUUGUGGCCAGCCUGUCUGUAUAUAUUAUAGAGACAUCCAUGCAGGCUGCUUGCUAUUGUCUGCACUAGUGAGCUAUAGCCCAUCUCCAAUUGGAACCCAAUGAAAUAAUCAUAACAAUUUUGCCUUCAUGUAUCACCUUUCAUCAGGGAGGAUGAAAGGACUUCACAAACUCUGGGUUCUUCUUUGAUCUAGGCGCCUAUCUGGUACACCGAUCUCCAUUGUGUAUUCUGCCCUCACCCUGCCGAUGGGCCUCCCAUUGACAGUAAUUGAACUUCCAUAUGCAGAGCAGCCAAAAGGCCGGCCUGGCCAGAGAGACUUCUGUCAGCUGCCAGGAGGGAGAGGGCUGCUUCCAGAAGGGACUUGGGUUGCUGUUCUGCAUCUGCAACAGGGGGCAGGGAUUAUAAAUGUGGGGAAAGAGGCAAGUAAUUCUUAAGCUGCAACUUCAGUUUGAGAGAGGGGUGCUUAAUAGGAGAUGGAGGAACAUUCUAGGUAACAUGAUAAAAUAAAUCUCCAGAAUGUGGGUGUUGCCUAAGGCUCUGCUCUUCACUGUCUUCUCUUCCAUAUCGACUUUAGCUAUUAGCUUUAUGGGAAGGACUCCGAAAUAUGUAUCCCAGGCUCAAACUCUCUUGGGUCUAGCCAGGCAUCUCUAGCUGUCUCCUGGGCAUUUCCAUCCACAUAUUUCACUGGAACAUCAAUCACAGCUUCUACCAAAUAUUAUAUAUGAUUCUUCCUCCUCCUUCACUCUCAAAUAGCUCCCUUCCCUGACCUUCCUACUUGUAGUCACUGAUGUUACAGCCACAAGUAAUUUAGCCAAUAUCUGUGUUCUCGUGGAGCUUGCAUUUUAGAGAGGGGUGAGAGAAUCCAAUAAACAAGCAAUAAAUGAAGAAGAGAAAUAGCAGGAAAUGAUAGUUUAGGUGGUGAUGGGUUAGGGGUGUGGACCUCUUUGGACUGAGUGACCAACAUUGGCUUCUCCAGGGAGGAAACUAUUCCAGGUGCAGGGAACAGCAAGCACCAAAGCCCUGAGAGAGCCAAGGCCCCAAACAGAAAAGAUGCUGAGCUGCUGGAGCAUGAUAACAGGAGAGUGGGAGGAGAUGAGGUUAGAGAGGUGGCCAGUGAUUAGAUGAGGUGAGGCUUUGGUGAUGGGAUGCAGAGUUUGGAAUCUAAGCCAAGUGCUGUCCAAAGCCAGGGAGGGUUUCCAGCAGCGGCUUGUGGGAGCUGAUGUCCAUUAGUAGCACCUCUCAGCUGAGACUUUGAGUCACUUUGACUCUUCUCUGUAUCACACACCUCUCUCCAUACAGGCAGUGUCUAAUGUGGAAUGAGAGAAAGGUUUUGGUAACCCUCCAACUCCCUUUGCUUCUCCCCUCCAGGGUCCCGGACAGAGUUUUCUGUGUUCAAAAGAACUAGAAGCCAAACAGAAAAUAAAGCAUCCUUUUUGUGAUCGCUGGGAAAGGACAACAUACCCUUCAGGCUGUAAAUGUGGCUUAGGCUAGCAGACUAAAGCUUAGUUUCCCAAUUUUUCUGAGAAUAUAGAUCUUGGGACCCACCUGCUCAGGCAUGCUUGCUGUUGGAGGGGGUGAGAAUGGGUGGUCUCAUGGAGAGUGGUUGCUACACCCAUCUCCCAGCUGCUGAGAGUGUUGUCUGCUAAGGAAAUCACAGCUGCCCUCCUCAGAGAAUCGCCAUUGGGAGGUUCCCCACCUUCCCACCAGGGGCAGCAUGUAAUCCAUGACUGGCAUAGGGUACAAAAGGCAGGCCCCUUACCUCUAGGUGAGACAAUUCUGUGGUACAGUUCAUACUCCAGAGCUCCCGUGGGAACAGGUCCAAGAAGUGUCCAGCUGAGACCCCAACCUUGCUCAGUCCUCUGCUGCACCUGGCUUACCUUCCCCCCUUCUCCUGAGAGCAUUUUCUCAAGAGACAUGUGCACUUCAUCAUCUUAUCAGGAUCUGCUUCUACGGAAUGCAACCUAAGACAAGUGGAGAUAGAGCCAGGCCUUUUAAGGAGCCCUGACAAAUCUCUACAAAAUUUCCAUUCACUUCUCCCUUUUAAAUUCAUUCAUUUAUUCAACAAAUACAUUGAAACAUGUUUUGUACACUCUGGCACACAAGAAAUCAGGUAGGCACAGCCCAUUCCCUCAUAGAGCUUACAAACCAGGAAGAAAGGCAGACAUCAAACUGGUAAAUGCAUUCAUUUGGGUGCAUCAUGUUGAGAGUAGUCUUCGUCAUUGUAAUGGGACUGUUUGCCUCCAAGUCCCUAUUUCUAAGACGAUGAAGGAACAGGAGUAAGCCCGGACACCAGAGCCUUUCUUCUGCUUUGCGAGCUGCUGAUAUGUAGCUGGGAUCUCUUUGUGUCCCCGCUGGGCUGACACUCACCAGUGAGCCAAGAAGGGAGGGGUGGUUAAAGGCGUGAGGACCCCGAAGGGGACCCCUUGAAAGUGCUCACUCUUCCUUCUACUAAUUAUUUUGUUUUUUUAAAAGCUUGCCCUGUUUAGUCUCUCAGGAGGUUUUCCUGCCCACGGGGGGUAUGGCUGCCUCCCAGGAGAAUCUGGCCAGGAUUUACACCACCCAGCCCACAAAAUCCUGAACAGCUCAGGACCAGCCCAUGCUAUUGUGAGCUGAGAGUCACUCUUCAGUUCUCAUGAUUGCAGGUAAAUAAAUGUUCCAGCCGUCCCGAGCUCUCACAUGAAGACUACCUGCCAAGGAAUUUUUUCCUCUGGGACCCAUGGCCACAUUGCUGGGCUGAGACUUUCUUGCAUUCAUAGAAUUCCCCUGUUACAACGGCCACUAGUCAGCUCCCAUUGCCUUAGUUUCCUGCUUGAAGGAGGUAGAAGAGAACUGCUGGCUGAUGCUUGUUUAAUUCACUGUGAAGGGUGCAGUUUAAGGAAGAUCUCCCUCAAAGGCAGCCACAUUCCGGACUCCUCUAUAAGUGCUUACUAAUGGAAGAGAUAAUUUGGGGUCAGGGCCAGCUUCGUGGGCCCCUGACCUGUGCAGUUUACAUAGGACUCCACACUUAGAAGGGCCCUACUCUUGGUUUAAUGUUCUGUUAUUGCUGUCUUAAAAUUCUUAAUAAUUUCUAAACAAGGGUCCCUACCUUUUCAUCUUACCUUAGGCCCCACAGAUUAUGUAGCUAGUCUGGUUUGGGAUCAUGCAUCAAGACUUGUUCCAGGUUGCCUGCCAAGAGGCAGAGAGAAAGGUAAAACUUCCCUUGGAUCUCUUUCACCCCAGGAUGCUGGUGAAUUCUAAAGGCACAGGGGCAGAUUUCUGCAGUUGAACAGUGUCUCUGGGGAGAGUAUAUUCACAAUACAGAACCAUCAGUCUGUACAGAGCCCAACGUGGUGGACAGUUGCUGACUGUCAGGGGUAGCUGCAGAGGGAGAAUGGAGAUGUAGGAGCAGGAAAAAUCUGCUUGAUUGUGAAUAGAACUAGAUCUGUUUUUUCUUGGUAUGGCAGGUGUUUGGAGCUGAUCAUUUUUCUUAGGGAGCAUCUGGGGGCUCCUUGAAGGUCUCCUGUUGGCCCUUCACUGGGUGUUCCCUUCAUCCUAACAGAUGCUUCUCGCUUCCAGGAGUCAGUUGAGGGCUCUUCCACAGCCCCUAGAGAUCCAGCAUCUCCCCUCAGCUCCUGGGGCCCCUGUUGAGAUGAACCCAAGCAAAUCCCA
rnacentral:lncRNA from 1 species